AUGUCCUUCCACGUCCUGCCGUUGCUACUGCUGCUGCAUCUAGUUGCCCGUCUCCCGGCGUCGACGCCGGCGCCGGCGGUGGUUACCCACCUGCCAGGAUUCGAUGGCCCUCUGCCCUUCCACCUCGAAACAGGGUACGUGGGCGUGGAGGAGGAGACCGGGACGGAGCUCUUCUACUACUUCGUGGAGUCGGAGAGGAGCCCCGGCACCGACCCCGUCAUCCUGUGGCUCACCGGCGGCCCCCGCUGCUCGGGCUUCUGCGGCAUGGUCUUCCAAGUCGGUCCUAUAAACUUUGUGGUGGCACCGUAUAACGGUAGCUUGCCGCAGCUUGUCUAUAACCCCUAUUCAUGGUCCAAGAUUGCAAGCAUCAUCUUUUUGGAUACUCCCGUUGGCGCUGGAUUCUCGUAUGCUCAUGAUCCCAAAGGUUACGAUGUUGGAGACAUAUCGUCUUCUUGGCAAGUUGUCACAUUUCUGGACAAGUGGUUCAGCGAUCACCCACGCUAUGCUUCAAAUCCUUUUUACAUUGGAGGAACUUCAUAUGCUGGAAAGGUUGUUCCACUUAUUGCACAAUACAUUUCACAAGGAAACGAACAAAGAAGGCAAGAUGAGAUUAAUCUCAAGGGCUAUUUAGUUGGCAACCCUAUUACAGGCUUAAGGUUUGAUGAUUUCAAUUCCAGAAUACCAUAUGGUCAUGGUGUUGGAAUCAUUUCUGAUCAACUAUAUGAGGCUGCAAUGGAGAAUUGUGAAGGUAACUAUGUAAGCCCAAUGAAUAAAAUGUGCGCUGUGGUUAUAAAUACCAUUGAAAAUCUCAUUUCUGAACUGUACGAAGAAUAUAUCUUGGGUGAUAGAUGUGUACAUGAUGCACCAAAACCUGUGAAGAAUGAUACUUCAAGAAAUAGGUUUCUGUCAGAAGAACAAUUUCAGCUAAGCAAAUCAUCUCCUCAUCCUACUAUCAAUUGUUUCAAUUACCGGUACUACCUGUCUAACAUUUGGGCAAAUGAUCACAGGACUAGAGAUGCUCUUAGGAUCAAGAAGGGAAAAAAUAUCUUCCUCAAAGAAUGCCUACAUAGUAAGGGAACCAUUGGCACGUGGGUAAGAUGCAUCAAAGGAUUCCCCUAUGCGUACGACGUUCCAAGUAGCAUAGAGUAUCAGUUCAACCUCACCACCAGGGGUUACCGUGCGCUUGUGUUCAGGUGA
rnacentral:rRNA from 1 species